CAGACGCACACGCGUCUCGUCCCUGCUGCAGGGGACCCGGCAGCGAUGGGAACCCCCGGUUUUCGGUGGGCUGCACGUUGACCAGCACAGGCUUCACGGAAAACCGCCCACCUGGCGUUUGACCCCAAUCCACAAGGAGAGCGGUCUGGGUCUCUGGGGCAAUGUUUCAUUCAGAGAAGAUGAUUAAACUGAUGCAUCAAGCCAAGGCCUAUGACCGAGUCGGGAACUGCAAGACAAGGGAUGUUAAGACUGUGUGCACAGCUACCUUUGACCUUCAAGUCCCACUGGAGAGGCAUGGGCACGAUCCCCACGAAGAGGAAGCUGCCUGAGUCAGCCCCCGGCGACCUUUCGUAGUCCACCAUUGUCCUUGUGUCUUAGCACUUCAGUCUGCAAUCAAUCAAUGCCCAUUUGGUGCUCAGCAAAUCCCACAGAGAUGUUCAGUUCAAGGACUCCGGACGGACGU
rnacentral:lncRNA from 1 species